rnacentral:lncRNA from 1 species
GAACUUUUAGGAUAGCAUUUGAAAUGUAAAUGAAGAAAAUACCUAAUUAAAAAAAUAUAUAUCAGCUGAACUUUUAGGAAUUUGAAUAAAUGUCCUCAAACCUUUCCAGCUUUUUUACGUUCAUAGUUAUUUUUAUAGCAGGCACUUUACCAACUAGGCCAUCUCUGUAGCCCCAAGAAGUGUGUGUAUUAAAGUAGCUGCAUCAAAGCUAUGGCCGUGGAGGAAAACCAAUCCCAGCUUCUAACAUCUACAUUUCUUUGUAAAACGGACUUUAUUGAAAAAAAUGAAAUGGUACAUUUCUUUAAAUUCCACUGCGCUUAGUGAAUAUAGGCACAGCCAUUGUGGAACUUUUAAUAGCCCACAAGGCCUCAACAAUGCACAAAAAGCUACAGGCAACUAAGGAAUGCUAAGACUGGGAGAACUUUUCUUCACCAAGGAAGAGCACACCAAACAGUUACCCAAUACCAAACAGUCAUCCCGGAAAACAUGUAAAUAAGUAACUUUAUGCAUACCGUGGAGGUCAUGUUUAGGAAUAUUCGUGUAUAUACAUGCAUGCAAUAUCAAUUAAUGAAAAGGAGGCAUGAUUUAGAGAAGAGUGGUAAGGGGUGUAUAGAAGGAUUUUGAGUAAGAAAAGGGGACAAAUGCUCUAACUGAAGUAUAAUCUCAAAAAUAAGAAAUAAUACUUUUUAUAAAAAGAUUAAAAAUACUUUUUUGCAUGCUUAAAACUAUAAAUGUGGGAGAUUAAAUCUUACUGGUUUAGAACAAGUUGGCAUAAAACUAGAGGAAAGGAAAACAAUUCACAGUUCUUUUCGAUCUUUCUUGUUAUAUCUGUGUAAAAUUUCCAUGCAUGGCCACACUGCGUUUUGCAUCUUUAAAUGGCUGACAGUACCAGCGGUCACAAAUCUUUUGAACACAGGGAAAUCUGUUCUUUAUCAUGUCGUUGGUGUUUGUAGUAUAACACAUUAUUAUUUGUAACCUCCUAGAUUUCUCUGAUUUGAAUACUGGGUAGAAGUUCUUAAUUUACAAAAUAACUUUCUCGUCAGGGAUGGAUGACUCGGGGAAAGUUGUGUGUGUAUCAGUGAACACUGACAUGUAAAUGGCUGACUUUCACUGGCUCAAGUUAUUCUUUUCCCCAGCAAAUUCAAAUGAAGAGGAUUAGCCACUAUUUCCCAGAUGCAAACUGAAGACUACUAAAGGAAGGCGUGUGCCUGGUGGUGUUACAUUUUUUUUAG